CGAGCGGAGAUGAGGUGCUUGCACCUUAUCUUAGCGGCGGACGGGUGAGUAAUGCUUAGGAAUCUGCCUAUUAGUGGGGGACAACAUUCCGAAAGGAAUGCUAAUACCGCAUACGUCCUACGGGAGAAAGCAGGGGAUCUUCGGACCUUGCGCUAAUAGAUGAGCCUAAGUCGGAUUAGCUAGUUGGUGGGGUAAAGGCCUACCAAGGCGACGAUCUGUAGCGGGUCUGAGAGGAUGAUCCGCCACACUGGGACUGAGACACGGCCCAGACUCCUACGGGAGGCAGCAGUGGGGAAUAUUGGACAAUGGGGGGAACCCUGAUCCAGCCAUGCCGCGUGUGUGAAGAAGGCCUUAUGGUUGUAAAGCACUUUAAGCGAGGAGGAGGCUACUGAGACUAAUACUCUUGGAUAGUGGACGUUACUCGCAGAAUAAGCACCGGCUAACUCUGUGCCAGCAGCCGCGGUAAUACAGAGGGUGCGAGCGUUAAUCGGAUUUACUGGGCGUAAAGCGUGCGUAGGCGGCUUUUUAAGUCGGAUGUGAAAUCCCCGAGCUUAACUUGGGAAUUGCAUUCGAUACUGGGAAGCUAGAGUAUGGGAGAGGAUGGUAGAAUUCCAGGUGUAGCGGUGAAAUGCGUAGAGAUCUGGAGGAAUACCGAUGGCGAAGGCAGCCAUCUGGCCUAAUACUGACGCUGAGGUACGAAAGCAUGGGGAGCAAACAGGAUUAGAUACCCUGGUAGUCCAUGCCGUAAACGAUGUCUACUAGCCGUUGGGGCCUUUGAGGCUUUAGUGGCGCAGCUAACGCGAUAAGUAGACCGCCUGGGGAGUACGGUCGCAAGACUAAAACUCAAAUGAAUUGACGGGGGCCCGCACAAGCGGUGGAGCAUGUGGUUUAAUUCGAUGCAACGCG
rnacentral:rRNA from 1 species